AUAUUUUCUAGAAAAAAUCAUAUUUAAUUAACCAGCUCAAAAAUAGGAUUAGGAAUUAUUUAGUUUCUUAUUAGAUUUUUUCAAUAAAGAUCUACAAUCCCGAAAAAUGAAGAAACAGAAAUAAUUGAUAGGAUUUAAGACAGUCCGCGUCAAUUCUUUGGGAACGAAUAAGUAUGUAAGUAUGUUUACUUACAUAUAUACUAUAUAUACCGUCAAAGAUAGGCGAGUACAGAGGGGCGAGGAAGAAGAGGUAGAAACUGCUUAAAGAGGCCACGGAAUCUGCAGACGUCGUCUCACCAUCAACCAGUUUUCUCAUACGGUCGACAUAUGAUAUUAUCUAAAAUUAAUAAAAUAAAAUGAUUAUUCAGAACGCAAAAAGCUAAAUCAAUUUAUUUCCAUGGCACUAUCAAACCAAUGACUUGACUCUAGUGAUUGUAAUCUGAUCGGAGUCGAUUUCAUGGCAAGCCAGCAGGUUGCAUGAUAAACGAGAUCAAGGUUGAUGCAGUAUGCUUUCCCUGAAUCACCCUGACCAAUCCAACCAACAUAUAUAUAAAUUUUGAUUGCAAAUUGUCACGUCCAAAGGAAUACGCUUGAUGUUAUGGCCUUAUCUGCACAUCAAGGAGACCAAAGAAAGAUAUUAUUAUUGCCAGGUGUAAGAGAUAUGUUCACAUUGUAAUGGAAUUAUACAAAAAUGUCUGAAUUGAUGAUGAUAGCGAUUUGAGAGCGAAUUUUCGCGAUAAUUCUCUUUUUCUUGGCAAAAAAUAAGAAAAAAUAAAGAUUACAAUGAAUUGAAAUAGAAAAAUAAUGAUGAUCAACUCUCAAAAUAAAUGACGGAAAAAAAAUAUAUUAUAUAUAUUUUUGUUAUUUUUGUGACUAAGAUACGAUUGAUAUAAACAUUUAUAUCCAAAUUAAACAAUAAUAGUUGCAAUGCAAAUAUUGAAUAAACAUUGAUUAUAAAACUGAAAUCUGUUUUGUUUUUCAUUUAAUUCAAAUUCGAAAUUCUUUUUUUAGAAGUAAUAAACGAUUACUGAGAAUAAAUAAAGAUGCUUAGUUAAUUUCUCUAAUUCUUUGAUUAACUUACAUUGACGUCAUUCCGUUGCUCGUUUUCUCCCAAUUGACUUUAUCUUUAUACAAAGACCUUUAAAGUAUCUUGUUGAGCAACUAUAUUGUAGAAUCUAGUGAUUCCAUC